AAGAAAGAAUAAGAAACGUUGUGAGGUAGGGUUGGGCAAGGCAGAAGCAGGAGCCAUGAGUGACAGCAGGGCCCAUGACGGAGACACAGCUUCACACCGUUGGUGGUAGCAGCCUGGGGAGUUCUCUGAGACUUCCAUUAAAGGAAGCCAGAUUGUCUACAGGAAAGAAUUUUAGGACAAGUCAGUAGGAAGAAAGAUGCUUAGGAAAACACUUAAGCCAGUGUGGGUGUGGGCUGCUCCAGAGAGAGCAACAGCCACACAUAUGGUGACCUCUGAAUUCACAACUUGAAGGGCUACUAAGGGACACAUAUGAGAUCACAGAAGGUUCCUGAGGUGUAGUAGAUAUAACUACAGCUGACAAGGUAAAACCAUAGACCACAAGGGCUUUCCAAGGGAGUCAAAACAUGGUUUUUCCAUAAACAAAAUUUUUAGUCUCACUGUAAAGUUCCCAGAAAAUUGCAGGUUUACGUCCAGGAGAAAGCAAAAUCACACUCAAAGAUCACAUACAGUUAGGCCUUAAGUAUGGUCCAUUGCUACGUUAGUUAACCUUCUCAUUUGGAAUAGCUCCAAAAUGGAUAUUGCCCCCAUGAAGGCUAGCUUCACAAGUUUUGUUAAUUGCGCUGGAAUUUCUGACUCUCAGCUGGAGAGACUUUAACCAGACUCUGCAGUAAAGGGCUCCUUUCUCUCCGUCACCCCUUAAUUUUCUGCCUGACUAUUUCCUCUCAGUCAUAAGACGGAGAAUGAGGGAUGAUGAUGUAAGUCUGAAGUCUGGAAGCCUGAGAAACAAUGUACUGAUGAUGUCCAGCAUGGGAGAAAUGUGUUCCCAGGCGGAGAGGGCACAUCCACCUUCUCUCUGCCUUUUUCUUCUCUUUAGCUAUCUCAGGGGUAGGAUGAUGGGAUAAUUCCCCUUAUUCUAAUGAAGACCGUCUGCUUUCCUCAGUUUACCAAUCCAAAUACAAAGAAAAAAAAACCCACACCUCACAGAGACAUCCAGAAAGAUCCUUUGGACUAGACAACUUCCCUGCCAUCUCUAGAAUGUCUUUCAUCUUCCAGGAUUAAAGGUCCAAUCUGUUAAACCAAAACUCUUCUCUUCCCCCUAGACUUUGCCCACCCCAGCCUACUUUCCUGCCAAGAUGAAGUGAGCUGUUCUAGAUAUUUCAGGUGGACCAGUUUUCUUAAAGAGUGGUCUCGAAUGGAUGACUGACGGGCCCAACUGGAUUGACUCUUAAGGGGGUAGAAGAUACUAUGUAGGAUUCUAAUCUUCGCAGCGGAUCAGAAUACCAUCCUCCACCCACCAUCAGAGAUUCAUUUUGGAGGAACAUGACAGUUCCAGCGCCCUCCUUGGACUCGUCUCUGUGUUUGUCGUGAUGCUCCCAUGUCAUUCUGACCGUCGCUCCUCACCAGGGUCACAGCCUUUGGACGGGUGAGAAGCAGUGCUCUAGAGAAUGUGAGCCUGACAGUCUAGCCUUGCAGUAGUCAUUUGUGCGUGCAACACACCCUUAUUCAACUACGGUACUGCACACUAGAGACACAAAAGGCAAAGAGACAAAGCCUGAACUAUCGUGCCGCGUAUGCAAGGAAGAAGAGGAGAAGAAAACAGACAGGUCUCUCCCUUCAAGCCCAGGCUGACCUCCAAUAUGUGAGCCUCCCAGCUAAGCCUUCAACCAUGAUGGAGUUUCAUGUGUCUCAGGAUGGCCUCUAACUCACCUUGCAGCCGAGGAUGACUUUGAACUUCAGACCCUCCUGCCUCCACUACCCAAGUGAUGGGAUUACACCACCACGGUGGGGCUGCACCUCAAUGCCGGGUUUACAUGGUGCUGGCAAUCAAACCCAAGAUUUAUACAUGCUGAGCUACUAAGUGAGCUACUUCUGACCCCUACUUUUUAAUAACACUUGCAAUUUCUCUCUUUAAAGGGGGAGUGGCUGAAGUGGUCAGUGGUGAAAACUCUUGCUGCUCUUUCAGAGGACUCAGGUUUUGUUCCCAGCACCCACAUCAGGCACCUUUAACGCCAGUUCCAGUGGACCUGAAACCCUCUUCUGGCCUGUGUGGGCACCUAUACAUACAUGGUACACACUCAUCCAGGC